UGUCUCAAUUCAGGGUCUGCAUCCUACCUCGGCCGGAUUCGUCGGCCGGUUACGUCACAGCGCCGCGACUCGGCCUGUCCCAAUUCGAAGACUCCUUCAAAUGCGGUCGACGAAUGCGGCCUUCUUUUCGCCUGAAUGAAGGAUGGGUCGGGUGUAUCCUUCAAUAGGUAGCAUUUCCCAAGAUGCCUUGCGGGCCGGCCGGCAGAAAACUUAAAAACAAUGGCGGACAGUGAAGCGGGAGCUGUCGGAGAGGAUUGCGCAUAUAAAUGACCAAAAGAGAAAACCAGGGAAUUUAUUAAGCUUAGGGCGGAGAUGGACCACAUGAUCACCGGAGCAAAGUAUUCGGCGGCUGUGGCAUGGAGACUAUUCUGGAGAAAAUGGGCAUCCAGGGGAAGGUGCCAGCGAUGAGCUUCUGGAGCUGAUCUGGGAGGACAUGAGGCUGCAGAGCAGCAGAGAGCACAGGAGAGAAGGAAGAACUUUGACAGCUUUUUACUUUGCUAGAAAAAAAUGUUUAAUGAAGAUUAAACAUGUACAUGUAAAAGAAAUAUCUAAAUAAAAUCAGUUCUGCAUUAAA